rnacentral:rRNA from 1 species
AGCGGCGGACGGGUGAGUAAUACUUAGGAAUCUACCUAGUAGUGGGGGAUAGCACGGGGAAACUCGUAUUAAUACCGCAUACGACCUACGGGAGAAAGGGGGCAGUUUACUGCUCUCGCUAUUAGAUGAGCCUAAGUCGGAUUAGCUAGAUGGUGGGGUAAAGGCCUACCAUGGCGACGAUCUGUAGCUGGUCUGAGAGGAUGAUCAGCCACACCGGGACUGAGACACGGCCCGGACUCCUACGGGAGGCAGCAGUGGGGAAUAUUGGACAAUGGGGGAAACCCUGAUCCAGCCAUGCCGCGUGUGUGAAGAAGGCCUUUUGGUUGUAAAGCACUUUAAGCAGUGAAGAAGACUCCAUGGUUAAUACCCAUGGACGAUGACAUUAGCUGCAGAAUAAGCACCGGCUAACUCUGUGCCAGCAGCCGCGGUAAUACAGAGGGUGCAAGCGUUAAUCGGAAUUACUGGGCGUAAAGGGAGCGUAGGUGGCUCGAUAAGUCAGAUGUGAAAUCCCCGGGCUCAACCUGGGAACUGCAUCUGAUACUGUUGAGCUAGAGUAUGUGAGAGGAAGGUAGAAUUCCAGGUGUAGCGGUGAAAUGCGUAGAGAUCUGGAGGAAUACCGAUGGCGAAGGCAGCCUUCUGGCAUAAUACUGACACUGAGGCUCGAAAGCGUGGGUAGCAAACAGGAUUAGAUACCCUGGUAGUCCACGCCGUAAACGAUGUCUACUAGUCGUUGGGUCCCUUGAGGACUUAGUGACGCAGCUAACGCAAUAAGUAGACCGCCUGGGGAGUACGGCCGCAAGGUUAAAACUCAAAUGAAUUGACGGGGGCCCGCACAAGCGGUGGAGCAUGUGGUUUAAUUCGAUGCAACGCGAAGAACCUUACCUGGUCUUGACAUAUCUAGAAUCCUGCAGAGAUGCGGGAGUGCCUUCGGGAAUUAGAAUACAGGUGCUGCAUGGCUGUCGUCAGCUCGUGUCGUGAGAUGUUGGGUUAAGUCCCGCAACGAGCGCAACCCUUGUCCUUAGUUACCAGCGGGUUAAGCCGGGAACUCUAAGGAUACUGCCAGUGACAAACUGGAGGAAGGCGGGGACGACGUCAAGUCAUCAUGGCCCUUACGACCAGGGCUACACACGUGCUACAAUGGUAGGUACAGAGGGCAGCUACACAGCGAUGUGAUGCGAAUCUCAAAAAGCCUAUCGUAGUCCAGAUUGGAGUCUGCAACUCGACUCCAUGAAGUAGGAAUCGCUAGUAAUCGCGGAUCAGAAUGCCGCGGUGAAUACGUUCCCGGGCCUUGUACACACCGCC